UGAAAAGCUUUAUUAAAAGCUACACUUGAUUAGGAAAAAAGUGGUUU
rfam:Alligator mississippiensis ScZkoYb_38, whole genome shotgun sequence.